AACAUGCUAUAUGCAUAAUAGGGCUGAGAAUAUAUGUUGUUAGAAAGUGACAUUUUUAUGUCUACAAGGGUUCAUUGUUCCUAAUUUCUUUUACUCUAUGCAUCUUACUUUUUUAAAAGGAUUUUGCUUUUAAUUUUUUAACAAGGCAGUGUCUCGCUAAACACUGACAAACAGUGAGGGAUUAACAUUUCUGUUUACAGCUACCAGAGGACUGGCAGAUUACCUUUUUUUAUGGUUCCACCUCAGUGGUGAAUGGAACCCAGUAGAUUUCAAAACUCUUUAAAGGAGAAUACUGUUCAGUUGAUGGAUUGUAUUGUUCAAGGUCUCGCUGGACAUUGAUUAUCUUUUGUUCUUGACUGUCAGAGUGGUGGCUUUUAAAUGUCUCCUUCUCUUCGAACUGGCAUUCAGAUGACUUGUGGAGGAUGAAUCAGGUGGGCAGAGAGCUGAAAACACGAAUUUAAUUCCAGUCUGACAGAUAUAAAGUGUUUCUGAAAACAAAUAUUCUAGCUGCAAUGGAAACAAAUGCGUUCUUACCCACCAUCACAGGAUCUGCAAAUUCCCAACCAGCAGAGACCUGGUCUCGGUGCUUAAAGAACCAGGUGCCUAAGCUCAGAUACAGAGCCUUUUUUCCCAGGUCUGAUUUUGUGCAUAUGGAUGUCUGAUGGUCCACUUCUGCAGAUGAAGAAACAACAGAUCUGGAUGAAGAAUCCUGCCUUGUCACAAAUAUCUGGAGACAGAGUAAGCUGCAUCUACUAUCCAUCUGACAGCUGAAGCUGGUGUGUGUACCACUGCUAUCUCAGCGAAGCAGGAACAAUUAAUAUGAUUGUUGCCCUGUCUAGAUGAAUCUUCUUGACCACUUUCUGAGUCAAUGGAUAGGUGGGGAAAGCAUACAGAAGGCCCUUUCUCCAGUGUAGAAGGAAGAGAUUCAAAAGGGAUUGAAGGUGCUUCAUGCUGUUGAACAGAGAAGGGGAUACUUUUUGUUAAUUUCUGUCACAGACAGUUCUACCUCGGGCUAACCCCAGUUACAAAAGAUGUCAUGAACUACUCAGGCCUUCAGAGACCCCUUAUGAAUCUGAGACCAGUCCCUGAUGAGACAAUCGGCUAGCCCAUUUCUUUCCUGUGCUAGAUGCAGGGCCACUAGACAGAUAUCAUGAAGAAUGCACCGGUCCCAUAACCUCACCUUUUCAGUACACAAUUGGAAUAAGUGAACUCCUCCUUGUUUGUUCUCAUAAUACAUAGCAGUUGUAUGGUCUGUGACUACCUGAACCAUCUUCCCUUGAAUACUGAGGAAUUAGCCGAGAGACAAAUUAAUGCCCUUUAAUUCCAACACAUUGAUGUGCAAGCUCUUUUCUUGAAAAGCCCAGUGACAUUGGAUAUUUCACGAAGCUAAAUAAGCUCCCCAUUAAGUUUUGGAAACUUCUGACAUUGUCCUCACCAACGGUGAAGGGGGAACUGAUGAAAACACCCCUGAGAACACUUGUCCUAUUCAUCUACCAUGUCAAUAAAUGGAGACCGUCCUGAGGCACGGUGCCAAAGUCUCAACUUGGUGUGUAAAUUGUCUCAACUUGGUGUGUAAAUGUGCCAUUUGGAGCAGCUUGUGAACAUCCAUAAGCAAAAUCACCUUGUGAGAUGGUCCCUGGGAAGGGAAGGGUAGGGGGAAUUGAAAGAAGGCAGGUUUUCUAAUUGAAUGGCAUAGUCCUUUUCUAUACUUUUUAGUAUCUAGUUUAUAAUAUCUAGUUCAGUGGUUCUCAACCUGCGGCCCAAUAAGAACACAGCUGUGGCCCA